rnacentral:tmRNA from 1 species
GGGGCUGACUGGCUUUGACAGCGUGUAGAAGCGGUGAGCAAGCAUGCAGAGCAAUGAUGGCUACGCUCUUUAAUCUGGGACAUCAAAAAUUCAAAUGGCGAAAACAACUACGCUCUCGCUGCCUGAUUGAAGUACAGUAGAUCAGCUUUAUCGCUGCAACAGUUGCGGCGACGAGACAUCACCCGAUUGUCCUUUUUCCGAGACGGAUCGACAAGGUGGUGCAGAUAAAUCGGAAAUAUGGCGACGAAAGCCUCGCGACUCGCCGAGAUUUUAGAGGAUAAGGUGACAAUUGGCCGUCUCUUGCCUGUUGUCAUUCGAAAACCAACAUGAGAAUAAGCAUGUAGAAACCUCAUUGGUUCCACGUUUGGACGAGGGUUCAAACCCCUCCAGCUCCACUA